rnacentral:rRNA from 1 species
UGCCAGCCGCCGCGGUAAUACGGAGGGGGCUAGGGUUGUUCGGAAUUACUGGGCGUAAAGCGCACGUAGGCGGACUAUUAAGUCAGGCGUGAAAGCCCCCGGCUCAACCGGGGAAUUGCGCCCAAUACUGGCGGGCUUGAGGACGGUAGGGGUGAGUGGAACUCCAGGUGGAGCGGUGAAAUGCGUAGAUAUCUGGAGGAACACCGGUGGCGAAAGCGACUCACUGGACCGUCUCUGACGCUGAGGUGCGAAAGCCAGGGGAGCGAACGGGAUUAGAUA